rnacentral:tRNA from 1 species
GAAAGAGGCUUGCCCGCAACAGAGACUGCUAAUCCCUGUCACUUUGGUUGAACUCCAAAGCUCAUUCG